GCCCGUUGAGCUCCGUUGGUAGAGCAGCCGACUCUUACUGCCUCUUCUGGCGAUCGGCAGGUCGUGGGUUCGAUCCCCACAAUGGGCU